rnacentral:rRNA from 1 species
CCUACGGGAGGCAGCAGUGGGGGAUAUUGGACAAUGGGGGAAACCCUGAUCCAGCGACGCCGCGUGAGUGAAGAAGUAUUUCGGUAUGUAAAGCUCUAUCAGCAGGGAAGAAAGAAAUGACGGUACCUGAGUAAGAAGCCCCGGCUAACUACGUGCCAGCAGCCCCGGUAAUACGUAGGGGGCAAGCGUUAUCCGGAAUUACUGGGUGUACAGGGAGCGUAGACGGUAAUGCAAGUCUGGAGUGAAAGGCGGGGGGCCAACCCCCGGACUGUUCUGGAAACUGUGUAACUGGAGUGCAGGAGAGGCAGGCGGAAUUCCUAGUGUAGCGGUGAAAUGCGUAGAUAUUAGGAGGAACACCAGUGGCGAAGGCGGCCUGCUGGACUGUAACUGACGUUGAGGCUCGAAAGCGUGGGGAGCAAACAGGAUUAGAUACCCCUGUAGUC